rnacentral:tRNA from 2 species
GGAGAUGUACUCAAGUGGCUCAAGAGGACGGUUUGCUAAACCGUUAGUAGGGGUAACUCUAGCAUGGGUUCGAAUCCCAUCGUCUCCGCCA